rnacentral:rRNA from 1 species
GACGAACGCUGGCGGCGUGCCUAAUACAUGCAAGUAGAACGCUGAAGAGGGGAGCUUGCUCUUCUUGGAUGAGUUGCGAACGGGUGAGUAACGCGUAGGUAACCUGCCUUGUAGCGGGGGAUAACUAUUGGAAACGAUAGCUAAUACCGCAUAACAAUGGAUGACACAUGUCAUUUAUUUGAAAGGGGCAAUUGCUCCACUACAAGAUGGACCUGCGUUGUAUUAGCUAGUAGGUGAGGUAAUGGCUCACCUAGGCGACGAUACAUAGCCGACCUGAGAGGGUGAUCGGCCACACUGGGACUGAGACACGGCCCAGACUCCUACGGGAGGCAGCAGUAGGGAAUCUUCGGCAAUGGGGGCAACCCUGACCGAGCAACGCCGCGUGAGUGAAGAAGGUUUUCGGAUCGUAAAGCUCUGUUGUAAGUCAAGAACGGGUGUGAGAGUGGAAAGUUCACACUGUGACGGUAGCUUACCAGAAAAGGACGGCUAACUACGU